CCCUUAGAUGUCCUGGGCCGCACGCGCGCUACACUGAUGCAUUCAACGAGUUUUACCUUGGCCGAGAGGCCUGGGCAAUCUUUUAAACCUGCAUCGUGAUAGGGAUAGAUUAUUGCAAUUAUUAAUCUUGAACGAGGAAUUCCUAGUAAACGCAAAUCAUCAAUUUGCAUUGAUUACGUCCCUGCCCUUUGUACACACCGCCCGUCGCACCUACCGAUUGAAUGAUCCGGUGAACCCCUCGGAUCGGGGACGGUGCCCGUCGGUCUCCGGCGGGCCAGCCCUCGAAAAGUUGGGUAAACCUUAUCAUUUAGAGGAAGGAGAAGUCGUAACA
rnacentral:rRNA from 1 species